ensembl:lncRNA
GAGGACAGUCACGUUAAUUAGAGUCAGCUGUGUAGAGAUGCUAACUAUCUCUACAGAAUCCAUCACAGAAACGUGCCCAGUCAUAUUUGGAUGCGUAACUGGCUGCCACAGCCUAGCUAAGCUGAUACAGAAAACUCCUCACCACAGGGAUGCUUUGAUUUACUAUCUUGGCUGGGAGGAGGGAGAAGGAAAUAAUUUUGGAAUCUUCCACUUGGUCUUUCCAAUAAAAUCAAGGAUUCAAAAUGAAGAACACUCCAGCCUCCAACUGGCAACUCAAUUGUAUAUUUGGAGACAGAGAAAUGACAGCCAGUUAUGUCUGUUGUCACAGUGGAUCCACUCUGAGCCAGACUUUAGCAGGAUUCCAUUCAUUCCAUGACUCCUGUGGUUUGCACUGUUACUGGAGGACCAUGAUGAUACACGGAGUCAACUCAGACUCUGUGUCUUAUAGUUCUCUGGUUAUUUCCCUCUCCCCAGUACAUUAAAUCACAUGAGUAAAUGACUGUAAGUCUCUUUGGGGAAGGAUUAGGGGACUCAGAACAGUGUACACC